GCCGCUUGUGCAGUUGAUGCACACAAUUUCAUAUUUCUAGUUGCGUACGGUGUGCUGGAGAUAGAGUCUGAGCAGAGCUCGACUUGGUUUUUGCAUAAUCUGCGUCGGGCUAUUGCACAUCCCAAUGGGUUGUUAAUUCAUACAUAUGCUUGCAAAGGUUUAGAAUUGGUUGUGGACAAUGUGUUCCUAGCUGGAGUAGAGCAUAGGGAAUGCAUGCGCCGCCUUGCUGCAAAUUUUGUGAAGAAAUACAAAGGAAAGGUGUAUACCGACAAUUUAUGGCCAACAUCUUUGACUUGCGGUGUGAAGAAGCACAACUACCACUUGAGGCAGUUAUACAUGAAUCCCAAAGUGAAGGAAUACUUGGAAACACACCACUCCAAGUUAUGGGCCAGAAGCCAAUUUAGUGAAUUGAGAAAGUUGACUAUGUGCACAAUAAUCUUGCAGAGUCUUUCAACUCAACGAUCCGGAAACUAA
rnacentral:rRNA from 1 species